GUGGAUGAGGAGGGAGCGCUGCGAGCCCUGCCCGUGACACCCGAUCCAGAAUUUCUCCGCCAUUCCCGCGUCCAGAGGCCGGGAUGAGGCCGGGAUCAGCGCCCCGAUCCCAGACAAACAGAUGGAGCGGGCCUGAUCCUAUUACCGGGGCUCAGCGGGAGGGGCCCUGCCCAGGUUGGCUCCCGGCUCCAGGAUGUUUUUCCCGGCUGGAAAACACCCCGGAACCAGCUCCGGAUAGUGCCAACCCCCGGGCAGCGCCGAAUUCCCGGGAAUAGGUGAGCUGAAAUUCCCGGGAUGAGCUCCGGGAGCUCGGUGGGGGGCAGGGCUGAGCCCGGGGACAGCGAUCCAGGAAUUCUUUGGGGGAUUCCUGGAGAUUCCCGGGGUUUUUUUUUGGGAUCCGGCGGUGCCGCUGGCAGGGAGCGGGGACAGGGCUGUCCCCAGCAGGGCACGGACGCGUCCCGGGCUACCCCAGGCCGGGGCAGGGCCACCAGCGAGGGCUGGGCCCUCUCCCGGCGCUGGGAACAGCGGAGAUUCCUGGGAAUUGUGGGAGCUUCCAGCUGGGAUUUGUUUGUCCCCGAGUUGUCCCCGGUGGGAUUUGGGAGCUGGAUGAGCUCGGGAAUUGUCCCUGAGCCCGCCGCGCUCCUCUCCCGAUCCAGGGGCCGGGAAUGGCGGGAGCGGCUCCCCGGUGGGGACGGGAGGGGCUGUCCCCAUCCAGGGAAUGUGGGAAUUGGGGGAUCUUGGGGAUCCUGGAAGGCUCUGGCUCCCUGCUCCAGGGAAUGUGGGAUCUUUGGGAUCCUGGAAGGCUCGGACUGCCGAAUGUGGGAAUUGUGGGAUCUUUGGGAUCCUGGAAGGCUCGGACUCCCUGCUCUGGUCCUGGCGGGAAUUUCCAGUGUCCCUGACUGUGUUCCUCGUCCAGGGAAUGUGGGAUCUUUGGGAUCCUGGAGGGUUUUGACUCCCUGCUCCAGGGAAUGUGGGAUCUUUGGGAUCCUGGAAUGUUCUGACUCCCUGCUCCCCUCCCGGCAGGGAAUUCCCGCUGUCCUGGAUGAGGGGAGCUCUGUCCCUGUCCCCUCUGGUGUCCCCAUGGCCUCGGGGCCCCCCUGCAGUGGCCCCGGCGCUGCGGUUUCCCAGGUGACGUUCCAGGGAUGUUCCCAUGGAUACGGAGCCGCUCCGGCGGGAUCGGGAUGCGGGGGGAGCCCCGGAUCCAGAGGGGCCGUGUCCUGUCCCCAAAUCCGUGUCCUGUCCCCAAAUCUGUGACCUGUCCCCAAAUCCCUCUCUCCCGU
rnacentral:lncRNA from 13 species